GGCAUUCUGGAGCAUACCUAGCAAGAGAAGAGGCUCAGGACUGGCUGACUGGACUUGGAGGUCACAUGCAGAUAAUGCCAGCUCCUGAUCACCAGAACACUGGGCUGUCCCCGUCCUCGCGAACUCGGUAAUACUCGUGGCCUUCGGGUACAGCCUUGGCUAGGCCAAAGUCUCCAAUUUUGACCAGCCUGUCGUUGUCCAGAAGCACGUUGCGCGCGGCUAGGUCUCGGUGAAUGUAGUGCUGACCGUGCAGGGUGGCAGAGAAGAGAAAAGUGCGUGGUUUCCACGACUGGGCCUAGAUCCCACCCACCAGCACUACCCUAUAAGGCUCCUCCCCAGAGGGGUAGCCGUGUAACAUGACAGUUGUCGAAUGACAGUAUUGGUUAUCAGGACAAAGUCACACUGGAAGCCAAGAAGGCUGAUUUUCAAUUCAAGCAAUCCAUCUGCCUCAGCGUUCCCAGCAACUGGAACUACAGAUGUACAACAGUACUAGCAGACUGAGCUGUCUUGUCUCUGGAAGGUGAAUAAAAGAUGCAGAGAUGGUUGCUAUGGAAAGAUCUUCCAACCUGGUUCUGCAUGGUACUCUGGGUCAGCAGGACCUGAAUUAGACAGGAAUAACAACCACCCAAUAUGACACAAAGAGAAUCCACUGCGUGCGGAGAAGUUGACAGCCAUGCAGCAUGUGUCCUGCAUCUACUAUGUCCUGACCACCAAAAAGCAGUACUACAUUUUGGGGCCAGUGAGAUGGCUCAGCAGAGAUCUGCUGAAUAUGACAUUUAAAAUGUUUAAUGGGGAAGUUUCCUGUGAUGGGCAGAGGUGCCAGAGAUGCCUGGUCCUAGAAGAAUCCUGAGGUCUUCAAAGAAGGCGGAUUGGGCCCGGACAACUCCACCUGGAUGGUGGUAAAGCUAACUGCUAGGAAAAGCUGUCCCAUGCAUGCCACCAUGCUCUGUGGACAUGUGUUGAUUGUCCUAUUCUGCUUAAAGUGUCCUACACUGUCAAAGUGUGGCCAAUGGUCCCAUGUUCCUCCUCCAUGGGAAAACCUCUCAAACCUGAGUCUGGCCCAAAGCCUAUGCUGUUCUGUUCAGCAACUGAAGGUAUAAUCCUGCCCUUCCUAUGUGACAGCUGAAGACCUGUGCCCACUAUCCCCAACAAGGCCACUGAGAUCACUGGACCCUAGGACAACCAUCUAGGUGGUGGGUCUCUGUCAAUGUAAUCGAUACAGAAGCCAUUGGAUUGUAGCUUCCUGCUGUGAUUUACCCUUCUCAGAUCUCCGAUGGAUGGCGUUGAUAGCUAACUGCAGUGUCAGUUUACCAGCAGCUGCUUAAACUACUGCUUCAAUGGCCCAGUCAAUGCAUUUCACACAGAAAAACCAGACCUUACUUUUCUAGAGUGUCUAGGUCACCUGAUGAAAAAGGCAAACUCAGGUCCUGAGUUCAAUUCCCAGCAGCCACAUGAUGGAUCAUGGCCAUCUGUACAGCUACAGUGUACUCAUACACAUGAAAUAAAUCUUUAAAAAAAAAAAAGAAAAAGGCAAACUCACAGACGGGUUUACUUGACUCACACGGUUCAUAUUAAAGGAUAAACACGUUUCAGAUGUACCCUUUACUAACAGUUUAAAGGAAUUUGCUUUGCAAAGACUGUACUCAGUAAUCAACCACUUAUAUAUGUCUAAUAAUAAAUA